rnacentral:lncRNA from 1 species
AGAAUUUUUAAAAUUUUGUAGCGGUAUGAGGUUAACUGUGGGUACCAAAGUGAUGAAGUUGAAUUCAGAUUAGGAGGGAUUCUCAUUGGUGUAUGGAGGGAUUCUCAUUGGGGUUGGGGCGCUGAGGCCCAAAGUGAUGAAGUUGAAUUCAGAUUAGGAGGUACCAAAGCGAGGGAGAAGAAUAGGGGUUAACACAUGCUCACUUCAUUCAUGUUCGUUAUGUUCUGUUCUCCAUUCCACUCUCAAAACACCUCGCCGGAAAACAACAUCUCCGUCGCGCUGGAAAUCGGCUCCAACAGAGGCAGGGGGCCAACAACCACAAUCCUUACAUCAAACUCUUCGUAUUAUUCUCCCUUUUCAAUAUUCAAUCUUGAUUUCUCCUAAUCUCUAUUAAAAAAACCAAACCAAGCCAGAAUACCUCAUGAACCCUAGCUUUCAAAUCCUAUAUUAAACGAAACAAAGGAGGUAUAAAAUCCUCCAAUUUUAGGGCUUUGAUUCCUCAGAUAAAACCCUACAUGUUUGCAACAAGAACUAGGGCGAAACAGGGGCGAAAGGCCUAUCUACUAGGACGAGGAGCUUUUGAGUUUGAAGGUGGAGUGAGCUAAAGAAGAUGACGCAAACAGAUCAAGAAAAAUCCAGAAGGUCUUCAAUUCGGUAAGUGAUUCAAACCUCUAACUCUAUCUAGUUUCUGCGUUCUUCUCCUUCUACCCCUUCUUGUGCUUUCUGAAUUGUUGCUCUUGUUGUGUAUGAGAGAGGUUCAUAGAGGAAACAUGUGAAAUUUGAUUCAAAGUGAGGGUGUGAAAUCUAAGAGUGCGUGAGUAAUGAUGCGUAAGGUGAAAUUUUGAGGGUGAUGAUGAAUUUAUAGGGAAUGGAAUCUAACAGAACUAAACUCUGUUAAUUAGCUCAAGUUGAAAUUCAGUUACAGGUUACUCACACUGUUAGUUAUGAAAGUUUGUGAAAAUUAGUUAGUUAGGUGAUUCAGUUAGAAGUUAGAGUUAACAAAAUUUCUGUUAGGACUGUUAGAACAACUGUAAUUAGAUUUAAUUGUUAGUUUUGUGAUGUGAAGUUAGUUUCAUGAAUUUUGUUAGUAACUUGUUAGGUUAGAUUAGUUAGUGAUGAAAUGGAUGAAGUAAUUGCCCUGUUGAAAUAUGGUUAUGUCAGUUUGAGUUUGGAUGUUGUUAGUUAAUGGCUGUUAAUUAUGUUAUGCUUAUUUAUUAGUUAUAGAAAUGAAGAAGGCAAUAUGGUUGUGUCAGUUUGAAUAACCUUGCUUGCAAUUAGUAACAAAUGUUAGAAUGCGAUGAUAAAAUGUAUCUCUCAGUUUUAGUUAGUUAUAGUUAUGAAUUUGGUUAGUUAGAAUGUAUGUUGAAACAGUUGGGUAGUUGGCUGAGAUUGAAUUUAAUUUGGAUGAAGUUUUGAAAUUAGUAUAGAAUGGAUGGCAAGGUUAAAAUAGUCAAAUUUUGAAUGAAAAGUUAAUGAAUUUAGUAAUUGGAAUUGUUAAACUUCUUCACUUGCUAAAAAUGGUGAUAUUAGUAUACCUUCGGAUGCAGGUUGGCAAACAAAAGCUUUUGUUAUGUGAACUUGUUUAAACUGUCUUGCUAAUGUGUUUUGUGUAUUGGUCUGGAAUUUUUAGAUUGCAUUGCCAUGGUAAUCACUAAAGUUGAAUAAAAUUAGCAUGUUGUUUCUAUUAGAAGGUUUAGGUUAGAUCUUGUCUUUUGCUUUGAAACAUGUCAUGAAGUUAGAUUUGUGGUGCACUGGUUUUGAAUUGACGUGGAUGGUUAAUUAGCAAUGUCAUGUAUUGGUUUGUGACUAAUAUGCUUGGUUUAUGUUGUUGUAGGAAAGAAUGGGCAUGCUUGGUAAAAUUGGGCAUGAUUGAAGGAUUAACCAAGGCUUGAGACUUUGGUAAAAAAGUCAAGAAUCUUGAAGAACAAGGUUAUGGAUAAUGUUGUAAUUAGGGUUAGGGCUAGUAGUGUUGACUUUGUUCAACUGGUUGACCAAAAAGUCAACAGUUGACCAAAGUCACCUGUAGGUCAAAGUUGUAUUUUUGUGUGUAGAACUUGUAAUGGGAUAUUUGAUGAUUUGUAAUGCAAAUGGAUGUUUGAUAAUAAAAUGGUCUUGAAUGAUUUAUGUCGUGUAUAUCAAGUAACACCCCUUCAUGAUUUGGAUCUUCUAACUUAUAUUUGAAA